UACGUAGGGGGCAAGCGUUUGUCCGGAAUUAUUGGGCGUAAAGAGCUCGUAGGCGGUUUGUCGCGUCUGCUGUGAAAACCCGAGGCUCAACCUCGGGCCUGCAGUGGGGUACGGGCAGACUGGAGUACUGCAGGGGAGACUGGAAUUCCUGGUGUAGCGGUGGAAUGCGCAGAUAUCGAGAGGAACACCAGUGGCGAAGGCGAGUCCCUGGACAACACCUGACACUGAGGCACGAAAGCCAGGGGAGCAAACGGG
rnacentral:rRNA from 1 species